CAGCAGCCACGGGAAAACGUAGGGCGCAAGCGUUGUCCGGAAUUAUUGGGCGUAAAGAGCUCGUAGGCGGUCUGUCGCGUCUGGUGUGAAAUCCCGAGGCUCAACCUCGGGCUUGCAUCGGGUACGGGCAGACUAGAGUGCGGUAGGGGAGACUGGAAUUCCUGGUGUAGCGGUGGAAUGCGCAGAUAUCAGGAGGAACACCGAUGGCGAAGGCAGGUCUCUGGGCCGCAACUGACGCUGAGGAGCGAAAGCAUGGGGAGCGAACAGGAUUAGAUACCCGCGUAGUCCCUGUCUCUUAUAC
rnacentral:rRNA from 1 species